GGAAGACUGCUUCUUGCCUGCCCUUCACUUUCUCAGCUCAUUGCGGCAUGGCUUGAGGGUCUUGUCUUCUCCCAGCAACACAAUCUGCAGGUACUCAAAGUGAGCCUCUUAAACUCACAGAGGGAAGGACGACUGUGCGAUGGUGAACGACUUCAUCCCCAGGCACCCAAUCCAUUAUACUGUCAACAACAGCAGGUCCUUGACACAGUUAGCAGCAACACUGGCUGUAAUGAAAUCAUCAGUAAUCCCAAAACUCAUCUCAUCACACCCAAGAGGUUACCAGAGCCUGCCAGAUCCAGCUCCGUUCCUGCUUGGUGUCAGACUACACUGCUACGUGUCGCUGACAGAUGACGACAAACUACAGCUGGCUCUAGCCAGACAUCAUUUCAGUUUUUUGGACUCCAGAGUAUGAACUGAUGCCAACUCCAAUUGUAAGACAUCGGAUACUUCAUAUGCCACAGCCUGAACCUUGGACUUAGGAUGGACCCCCUGAACCUCACCGAAAUGCCCUGCAGGUUGAACUGCGAUUCACCUCAUCAUUUAUCUCUGCCUGUCUCACCUUUGUCUAUUGAUGGACUACACUCUUAUAAUGGAAUACAUAGACUCUAAUCAUUUAAUUGCCAACAAAAGCCUUCAUCAGCCAACAAACAAAGGACAAUGCAUAUAUGUGUAUUUCUAUAGUUAAUCCAGGAAGUCAUUAAUCUUAAAGUAAAAAAAUAAAUAAAAUGUUUAAAACACUGGACCUUAAAUCUUAAUAAAUUUACAAAUUUAAAACUAUGAAUUGCACUGCACACAAAUAAAUAAUAUUGGCAUUAUGUUCAUGUUGUUUAGCCAGAGGGGAACUGGCCCCCACAGAGAGUCUGGUUUCUUCCAAGGUUAUUUUUCUCCAUUAACAACAUCUUAUGGAGUUUUGUGUUCCUUGCCACAGUCACCUUCAGCUUGCUCAAAGGGGUUCUAAAUACAAUUAUUAUUUAAUUAUUUCAUAUUUCAUAUCAUAUUUAAUCAAAUUACACAUUGAUCACUAUAAGACAUUAUAGAUAUUACAGCUUCAUUUUCUGUUAAUGCAUGAUUUCCUGUGAAGCUGCUUUGAAACAAUGUGUGUUGUGAAAAGUGCACAACAAAUA